rnacentral:rRNA from 1 species
UAAACGACUCUCGGCAACGGAUAUCUGGGCUCUCGCAUCGAUGAAGAACGCAGCGAAAUGCGAUACUUGGUGUGAAUUGCAGAAUCCCGUGAACCAUCGAGUCUUUGAACGCAAGUUGCGCCCGAAGCCAUUAGGCUGAGGGCACGUCUGCCUGGGCGU